UUCAAAUAAAAUAAAAUAUCAAUAAUUAUCCAAAAAUAAUAAAUUUGAAAAAAUUAGGGGUGUUACAUAAUGAAUCCGCAAUAAGCUCAUGUUUACUUCAAAGCCUUGCCUUUGUCGUGGAGGCAGAACUUGCUCCACAGAAGCUCAUCAGCAUAACGGUGUUGUUAGCUGGCCAAAAUGGACAGAGAUCUCAGAGUCGUUUCUCCAAACUUGAAGAAGCCUUUCACGGACAGGGGAGUUGAUUGAUCCAGCAAAGAAUGCAAGCUUCUUCCUUUUUGAUGAAGCAAGGUCAGGAGGAUCUUCUUGCCUAGGCCAAACUUGUGGCAUAGAUGCGUCCUUGUGAGCAAUGUCCCCAGAUAGGAAAUAGCUCGAAGAGCAGACAACUUGAAUAGCAUUAAAUUUUACUUCCUCUGCUUUCUCCAUUGCGGACCAUCCAACGGAAUGACAAGCAACAUAAAAAUGGUCAGCUCCACCAGUCCUAUUCCAAUAUGGAUAUUAAAGAUGUAAUCUCUGAUGAAAUCCUGGAUACCUCCUAAACCAAUUCUAGGGUCAUGGCACAUCCUUGCAAUGGAGAAAGGCAGAAAGAAAAGAUCUGCUAUUGUUGGAUCCUUUGUGAUGAAUUGGCUUUUCAUGAGGACUUUCUUAAAAGUAACUUUCACUGGCAUAUUUACCCCCAGGUUCAAAAUCCACUGGCAAGAGUGCAUUUGCAAAUGGAUCUUGCUGCCUGUGAGGGUAAGCAUAUAUCUUAAAGCUCCUAUUCAUUUCUUUAUAGUCUUCCAGAAAGAUAUCUCCAUCAUGGAACACCUCAUUAUUCACAUAGAUUCCUGAAUCAUAGAAACCAAGAGUUUCCAGACACUUGGGUUAAGAAAUGAAAGCUUGUGCAUAUGGACAGAGCUUUCAUUAGCCUCCCUAUAACCCCAUACAUCAGAAGUUGUUUAAGCUCCAAACCAGCCAUCAGGUUCAAUCAACAAGACAGGUGGCACCAUUAAGAACAUGGGCAAUAGUGAAUCAAAUUUAAUGCUGUCAUUCUCCAGAUAGGUUUAUGAUACACUCCAGGCAGAAGGUACAACUGCUACACAUGCAUCAUGGAUAUAUUUUAAAUGUAAAAUAAUGCUGAAAGUUGAAAGUAAUUAUAUUGGAAAUAUAACAGGAGUUCUUAACUUUGGAAAAAGCACAGGAGAGAGAAGGGCAUGAGAGCAUCACAGAAGCAGCACAGCAUAAUCUCAGAAUUCAAUGAUGCACCAAGAUCAGACAAUAGUAGACCAGCAGUUUCCAAAUUGGAUGGCCUAAGCCCUCCGACUACAUUAGAUAUCUCAAGCCUUAAAGAUGACUGCACUGAAAGUUAACACAAAGAUUUAACCUUUUUCUAGUAUAGCAUUGUUAAUAAUGCUUUUCCCCGCAAAAUAUGUGUGUGUUGUAAGAACAUAACAUGACAUGUUGCCUAACAUGGUUACCUCUCUAACAUUGACACUGAUGAAACUCAAAGCCAAUAAGGAUACACCCAAAGGAAAUAAAAGAAAGGGGUAAAGAACUCUUCGACAUGGGAUGAAAUGUUUUGGUAAUCGUAGUAAACAUGGCAAAGUAAGAAUGUACUCAAAUGCAGAAGCAGAAGCAAAAUAAAUUGUCUGCUCGAUAUCGCAUUUAGGCUCUUAUAACUAUAUAGAGAUUGUACGAUAAUCCCACUUUGGUUUCUCAUCCCAAAAGAUUAUUCCGCCACAUUUCUCUUUAGGCUCUUUUCUCAGUGAUCCAACUUGGAAACAUGGAAAUUUAUCAGUGUGCUUUGCAGUUAUGAAUAUUUUCCUUCAACAUUUCACUUCUCGAAUUUCAUAAUCGGUAGUUGAAUACUACUUAACAUGAUAAUCACAAUUAGGAAGAAAUUGCAAAUAACUCCCGUCUGCCCCAUUUUUGCCAGUCUUUUCACUAACUGUUUGAGGACAUAAGCUCUUAGCUUGCAAAACAGUACAGAAUACAAAUGAAAAUCCCCACCUAAAACCCCAUUUAGUUUUUAGAUAAUUCAGCUGUCUGCUCAUUUAGAAUUUGAAGCAAGUGAAUUUGGAAUCCAUAUAAAGAUUUAAAUAAAUUUGAAGCUUAACGAAAUCUUCAAUCAUGGAUAUAAAAACAAAGAUUCCACCCCACAAACUAUCCAAAAUCAAAAGUGUGCUUCAAUAUAUGACAUACCAUUAGUGCCCAAUUGAAGUUUGGAAAACCGUUGACUUUAUUUCCAUCGUCAUUAUUCUUCUCCAAGUGGCUAAUUCUGGGGGAAUGACCAAAUGGGGUUUUAGAAUCACUGUGAAAGGAACUGGGAUACUUUCUUGAGUGUUUGAUGAGAACCCAGAUGAGAGAUAAGGUUUCAGGAGAAGAGUGGAACGGCGAAGGUGACUGGAGAAGAGAUUAGAGGUAGUGGAGACGUGAAAGAGAAUAAAGAGAGAAGUAAAGAGAGCCAAGCAAGUGGGUAUGAAGAAGAAUGAC
rnacentral:misc_RNA from 1 species